GGAAAUCUUUAUUGAGAAAUUUUAAAUUAUAUAUAUAUAUGUAGGAAUAAAUUGAAUAAGGUGAAGGUGUUAGGUGUUGUAUAGACUACUAUAAAGAGUUAAAUACUAUCAGUGAUUCUUUUAAGAUUAACAAAUCAGAUGUUUCAUAUAUUAUUUAAUAAAAUAAAUUAAUGGUAUUAACUAAAAUAUAAUUAGAAACUUUUUUUAGAAGUUUUAAAUUAAACCUAAAUGAGUAUUUUGUAAAACAAUGGUAGGAAACUAAAGACCUGCUCUUUAAAUUCAACUAUUGUCAUUGACCACUGACCUCUUCAAAGUAUUUUUAAAUAUCAAUCAAAAUAAUUAAUAUAUUUCUAUCAUAUAGUAAUUUUUUAAAUUACAUAUU
rnacentral:misc_RNA from 1 species